rnacentral:ncRNA from 2 species
CAGGUCUCCUGUAACUGGCGCAAGAUGGGGAACCAUCGGGGAGCAGGAAUUCACGACCGUCGCAGCCGUACGCCUGGGCUCCCCUG